rnacentral:rRNA from 1 species
CAGCCGCCGCGGGAAUACGUAGGGGGCAAGCGUUAUCCGGAAUGACUGGGCGUAAAGGGUGCGCAGGUGGUUUAACAAGUUAGUGGUGAAAGGCAUAGGCUCAACCAAUGUAAGCCAUUAAAACUGUUUAACUUGAGUGCAGGAGAGGAAAGUGGAAUUCCUAGUGUAGCGGUGAAAUGCGUAGAUAUUAGGAGGAAUACCAGUGGCGAAGGCGACUUUCUGGACUGCAACUGACACUGAGGCACGAAAGCGUCGGGAGCAAACAGGAUUAGAUACCCGGGUAGUCCCUGUCUCUUAUACC